UACGUAGGGUGCGAGCGUUUAAUCGGAAUUACUGGGCGUAAAGCGUGCGCAGGCGGUUUUGUAAGCCAGAUGUGAAAUCCCCGGGCUUAACCUGGGAAUGGCAUUUGGGACUGCAAGGCUGGAGUGCGGCAGAGGAGACUGGAAUUCCUGGUGUAGCAGUGAAAUGCGCAGAUAUCAGGAGGAACACCGGUGGCGAAGGCGGGUCUCUGGGCCGAUACUGACGCUGAGGAGCGAAAGCGUGGGGAGCAAACAGG
rnacentral:rRNA from 1 species